ACGCAAGGGUGCGUAACGCGUAAGUAACUUGCCCAAGGUAAGGAAUAACGUCGAGAAAUCGGCGCUGAUACCUCAUAAUGCAGCGGAUCCGCAUGGAUAUGUUGUUAAAGGUUUACCGCCUUGGGAUUAGGCUUGCGUCUGAUUAGCUAGUUGGUGUGGUAACGGCACACCAAGGCUACGAUCAGUAACUGGGUCUGAGAGGAUGAUCAGUCACACUGGAACUGAGACACGGUCCAGACUCCUACGGGAGGCAGCAGUGAGGAAUAUUGGGCAAUGCUCGAAAGAGUGACCCAGCAACGCCGCGUGGAGGAUGAAGGUAUUCUAUAUUCGUAAACUCCUGUGAGAGCAGACGAAAGACAGAUUAUUAAUCUGGAUGACUGUAUGCUCAGAGGAAGCCCCGGCUAACUACGUG
rnacentral:rRNA from 1 species